rnacentral:rRNA from 1 species
CGCGCAGGCGGAUGGUUAAGUAGGGCGUGAAAUCUCCCGGCCUAACUGGGAGGGGUCGCUCUAAACUGGCCGUCUUGAGGACAGCAGAGGUAGGUGGAAUUCCUGGUGUAGUGGUGAAAUGCGUAGAGAUCAGGAGGAACACCGGUGGCGAAGGCGGCCUACUGGGCUGUCUCUGACGCUGAGGCGCGAAAGCUGGGGAGCGAACGG